UACGGAGGAUGCAAGCGUUAUCCGGAUUUAUUGGGUUUAAAGGGUGCGUAGGCGGGCUGUUAAGCGUGAGGUGAAAGCUCGGGGCUCAACCCCGGAACUGCCUCGCGAACUGGCGGUCUUGAAUGCCCGUGCCGUGGGAGGAAUGUGUGGUGUAGCGGUGAAAUGCAUAGAGAUCACACAGAACACCGAUUGCGAAGGCAUCUCACGAACGGAUGAUUGACGCUGAGGCACGAAAGCGUGGGGAUCAAAC
rnacentral:rRNA from 1 species